GCAGCGAAACGCGAUAGUUAAUGUGAAUUGCAGAAUUCAGUGAAUCAUCGAGUCUUUGAACGCACAUUGCGCCCAUUGGUAUUCCUUUGGGCAUGUCUGUUUGAGCGUCAUUACAACCCCUCAGCUAACGCUGGUUUUGAACCGGGACAGGUUAACACCCGCACCGGUUUUAAAGUUGUAAGCUCUGCUGGCUGCUCUGCCCCAACCGGAACAUAGUAAAACACUACUUGUUAAGGCGAGGCGAAGCGGUACGGCCUGAACAAAACCUACCCAUUUUCUAAGGUUUGACCUCAGAUCAGACAAGGAUACCCGCUGAACUUAAGCAUAUCAAUAAGCGGAGGAAAAGAAACCAACA
rnacentral:rRNA from 1 species